rnacentral:rRNA from 1 species
UACAGAGGGUGCGAGCGUUAAUCGGAAUAACUGGGCGUAAAGGGUGCGUAGGUGGUUUGUUAAGUCUGCUGUGAAAUCCCCGGGCUCAACCUGGGAAUGGCAGUGGAUACUGGCAAGCUAGAGUGCGGUAGAGGGUAGUGGAAUUCCCGGUGUAGCAGUGAAAUGCGUAGAUAUCGGGAGGAACACCAGUGGCGAAGGCGGUUACCUGGGCUUGUUCUGACGCUGAGGCACAAAAGCUGGGGGAGCAAACGGG